UUUGGCAAUAAGUGAGUUUAAGAACCGGAGCAUUUUUUUAAAUCUGAGAUCUCCAGUGGUACUCAGGAAGUGCUCGUAGUAAAACUGUUGGACCAGAGGCCCCCUCAAACUUAGGCUUUGUGUAUGCAGGUAAUUAGGGUCAACAUAGCCUAGGCUGGUGAUUCCUAACUUGGGUGCCUUGAGAGCCUUUGAAGGGUGCUGCGGGGUGCCAAGCCAUGUUAGCACUGCUAGGUGUGUGGACGUGAUUUGCAAGACUGAAACAGAUUUCAGAUAAGCCCUAAGGUUAAAAAAACAUUCUGCCCCAUUGUGGUCUUUCUGAGUUCUUUGCAACAGAAAAACUAUUCUGUCUUGUUUUUGUAAUUUAAAAAGCCUAGAGAGCUCAGAACUGGCAUUUUCCAAGGGAUGCCUUGAGCCUAAUGAGCGGGUUGAGAAUCGCUGUCCUAAGCUCCGUGGCUAGCCACAGUCCACCCAGCCCCAAACAUUCUGCUGAACUUCAGGAUAUGAGGAAAGGCCUGCCUUGCAGUGUACCUCUCCCUGCAGUAUGUUUGGAGAUUGCCCAGAUGCUGUAGGCCACAAGCACAGGAGUCCCUCCAGUGGCUGUUUUCAAGCUGCUUCUUCCUAACUUUCAGCCUUUCUGUCCUCAAAUCUUGUCUAUAAUUGGAGACAAGAUGUGCAGGAGAAACAAGUACCAUAUUUUCUUGCACAUAGCAUGCCUCAAAAUAAAAUAUGUACCUUGUUGAAAAGUAGAAGGAAGGAAAAAUAGCUUUCCUUGAAAUAGUAAGUUACUGAGUAGCACAGGGGCAGGCAAUUAUUUUGGGCAGAGGGACGCUUACUGAGUUUCAGCAAGCCAUCAAGGGCUGCAUGACAGGCAGUCCAGGGCAGGUUAAUAUUAAAUUUUCUAAAUUUUUUAGGGGCUCCAUGGGCCGGAUAGAAUGGCCUGGCGGGCCGCAUUUUGCCCACCCCUGGAGUAGCAGCUUCUGCAGCACGAGCCUCGGCUAGGGAGAAAGUGUCCACAGCCAGCAGCUAUGGAGCCCCGCUGUGCUGUCCGAUAUGCAGUGUUAUUUCACUUUCCUCAGACUGAUAUCUACAAGGGGAUCUGCUUGAAGGACAGGAAACAUACUUUGGAUGGCUUUGGUGUAGGCUGCAAGGUAAGAUACAGAUGAGGAAGGGUGGCACAUGUGGCUCAAGUUGGUUGAGACUGACCCUAAGUGACCUCUCAUCAUGGAUUCUGUGACUUUUCCUGUUUCAGAUAUGCAGAGGCAUAGUCUUGUUAAAGAUACUAUGGGGUACUUUCCAUCUGCUUUAGGGUUACUAACAGACAACUUGCAUAGCAAGAGAUGUGAAUUUUCUCUUGUCUGUGAUUGCCUUGUAACAAUGCCCAGCUUGAGACACCUGGUUCGUGUCUGAAGAUAUAGAACAUCUGUGCUCUGGAGCGGAUUUCUCUUUAGGGUGCUUAGUGAUGAAUUACCCAAUCUGGUAACACCCUAAUCUCACUGUCUCUCACCCCAUCCUCAUCAAUAAAUUAAGCGACUGCGGCAUUGAUGCCUGCACAGCAUGCUUAAACUCCAGGAGAAAGCACAAAAGAAAACUUCAGUAUCCACAGACAUAUAAGCUCCUUCUCCUGUUGGCCUGGGGUAGAUUCAGAUCAGCAACCUAGACCAGAAAGGUUCAUGCCUGUGUUCCUUGUCCUCACAGCCAGUCUGCUAUGAAUGAAUUAAUGACAUUUUUUUUAAUGUAGGGCUCAGCCCUGCAAGGCACUGAACACCACCAGCUUCCAUUAUGUUCAAAAGAAGUUAAACAAUGUUCAGCACUUUUAAGAAUCAGACUUUUUUCUACUACAUAUGAACAUGGCCAUACUAGACUGAAAACUGAAAAGAACAUGGACAAGUUAGCCCAUUUUGGUUUAUAUGUUUGCAUUCAUUUUUUGUGUCAUAAUCUGCAUGUACAGACAAACAGAAACUUUAUUUAUAUAAAAAAUGCAAUUAUAAUUGCAUUUUAAUUUACCCUAGCUCAAAGUAUGCACUUCUCCCGUGAAUUUAUCUCCACUGUAAGAAAAUACUAAGAUUUCAGUUAGAUAUGUAACCCUGCUAACGUUAUGCAUUCUCUGUUAUGGUCACUGGCUGUGUCUACACAAGAUGCUGACUGUGCAGUCAUUACUACACAGUCAUUUAGUGCUUGUAUAAACAAGCACUAAAUAACUGUGUACUAACUGGAGUUACUGCUCAGUAGCAUUGCCAAAUGGCUUUUAGGUGACUGCGCAGAAUCUUGUCACUACUGCACAGUAGCAUCGUGUAAUGCUUCCUGCCAUGUGAUGCUACUGCACAGUCAGCAUCUCAUGUACACACAGCCACUAUGUAUUUUUUUAGUAUCUAUAAUUGAAGGUUUGAGCCUACUCACACCCAGGUUUACUGUUAGUAGGCCUGCUUUUACUGCUUGAUGGUAAAAUGUGCAAAUGUAAAGGGCAGGUGGGUCAGAUAUUUGUGUCCACGGGCCCUCCUUUCCAAAACAGCGAAGUGUGUAGGUAUGCAAAAGUUUAAAAUGGAAAGUUAGAGAGGGCUCUGAGAGGUCAGCACUCACUUUGAGCUGGAAGAGAUGUGCAGUGGGUGACCUUCUUUUCCAACACAGAAAAAGCGUAUGUGUGAGGAGCAGAAGAGAUUGUAGACAGGAAUAUAGCAGGGCAGUCUGGCCCUUUAAGUGGGAUGGGCAGCUCUGAAGUAGGAGCCCAGCUGCAGGCGAUCAGCUGCUAGUUCAAAGCUCAGGAGAAGAGAGAGCAAGCAGCCUGAGCUGGGGAAGAAGUAGUUUGUGGUCAGGAGGCAGACUGGAAGCCAAAGGAGCUUGCUUCUAGGAAGAGCCAGAGCUAAAAGGGUCCUCACCUGCUGCCUGGAGAAAGACUGAAAACUUUGCUCUGUCAUUUGCUGCUUGACCACUGAGAAUACACUGAGACGUUCCAAAGGUCACCUUGCUAACCGAUGGUGCCUCAGCUUUACCUGUGUCUUGCCAGCAUUUAGCAGAAGGGAUUGUGCCAGCUAGCGUAUCAAACCCUGGUCUGGUCAUAUGCUGAGAAAUAAAAGCCUCCUCCCCUCCUUAGAUGGGGACUUCCUUUUUGGUCAAAGGCUCUGAAAUUACACUUGUCACUGACAAGUAUGUCAUAAGAGAUAACAGAGGAUUUAUUAUAAAGACAAAAGCAGUCAUAAGAAAUCAAGGACCAUUUGUUGAGAUACAGACAAAUGGAAAUAUCAGAACAAUGAUUUUCUCUUAUCCUAAACUCUAAGAAUAUAACUUCCACUUAUUAGCUCAACAGAUUAGAAAGCAGCCAUUGCCUCUGACCUUCUUGUCAGGGUUUUCUGCAAAUUCUCUUGUCAGCCUAUCACACUCACCCCACUAGCUGAAGGACCAAAGCACCUUAUGCCUGGAAAAUUUUAGACAAACACUUGCUCCUGUGGCAAGGUUUAAGUACGGUUUCUUAUCUGGCCAUUUAUGUAUUAUCCAUUGAAUUCUUGGAGUUCAUACUAUGCAUUUGAAUUCCUGCUCCACAAGGGUAUAUCUGUUUACCAGAUCCAGAGAUGGCUUUCAGACAUAAAGACUGUGAAUCUAAUAUCCUAAGAAUCCUGAAUCUUACUUAAUUUUCCAACUUAAUGUCCUUCCCUGAAUAGCCAGGUGUUAUUUGCCACAGUCCUCUCCUUUUAGAAUGCAAAUUUGUCUAGAAGGGCCUAUUCAUGUGUCUCAGACCACUUUGAAUGGCCAUUAAACAUAACCAUGUUGGAUACUAAUUCUCAGUAAUUACUUCUCUCAGUCAUUUAGGCUUUGGCCCUCUCCCAGAUGCAAAACCCACUGUUUAAGGAGUAACAUUAUCAUGUUAUGCAAUCCUGGCCUUACUAUAUGCGCCAUGGCAUAAAGUGAUGCCUGCCACUUUAAGAGGAGCUGGCAAGCUGCAGAGCAGCUGGCAGGUGGGCUCAGGCCGAAUUAGGUGGUCACCUGACAGCUACGAGGCUGCCUGGUUGGAUGAGGACUGGGCAGCCAGAGUAUAAGUCCAGAACCAGGGAGUAGGCUGCUAGAUGCAGCUGGGGAACCAAAGGAUUAACAUCACCUGGCAUGAGGACUGCCGCUCCGGUAAUGCCUGGCAGUUAGAGUAGGAAUUAUGGGGAAGGAGGAGGAUCCUUCUGGUCCUGGGUAAGACCUGAAACUGUGCCCUGCUGGGGUUGCAUGGUGUGGUGGAGCUGCCUGUAGCGGGCAACCCUCAGGAAAUGCCACACCUGAGUCUCCCCAGUGAAAGAUGAGGAUGGGGCACUGGAAAGCCUCAGCCCCUGCUGCCUUGUGGGUCACCCUGUAAAGGGGAAAGGCUAGGGGGGCACACCCCAACAGAAAAGCACAGGACCCAGGUCCACUGAGGGGGGGGCCUGAGGCGGGGUCCAGGCCCAUGGAGUAGGGCCUGAGAUAGCAGCCAAGGCCCACUGAUUGGAGCCUGAGGCCCAAGGGGCAUGAGGCCCAGGAGCCGGUUGAGGGGCAGUGAGUGAGCCAAGUGAGGGGCAGAGAAUGGCCCAUGAGGGGCAGAAUAGUGGCCUAGAGAAGGAGCCAGGAGGCCAAGGCCCACAGAAUGGGACUGGAGGUCAAGUCUGAACCAUAGGCCAAGUGCAGCCCAGCAAAGAGGCUGGGGGAGCAAUAAGGCAAAUUGGAUGCCAUCUGAGAGGCACAAGACACAGUAUUAGGGGAGGUUCAAAGCCAUGUGUUUAGCAGGACUGUUCGAAACUUCAGUCACUGAUUUGAUUUGGCAGAAAUUUGGCCUGAUUUGGUGGCUGAAUCUCCAAAUCUGAAUCAAAUCAGGAGACCCUUUAAUCUCUCUGAAUCGAAUCGGAACCCUCUGAAUUGUUUCAGAGAGAUUCAGAAAGAUUCAGUGAUUCAGACAUAGACACAGCUUUAAAUGUUUUUUCUACAUACCUCUAGGUAGCAGGCAAUUUGUGAAUGCUGCGAUGCUGGGACAUGGAGUGUCCCACAGAAGCACGGGGGGCUCCCCAGCACACUGGGCAGCAGAUCUGGAAGUGGACCAGAAGCACUUCUGGUCCAUUUCUGGGUCCACCGGGGAGCACGCAAGGAGGCCCCUCCAUAUCCCCCGGCUCAGCGACUGAUGCCUUCUGGUUCUAGGGGGGGCACCCGGGGUCCCCCUGCAGCUGAUCACUGAGCCAGGGGAGGCACAGGGGGGGCUCCCCUGCAUGUUUCCCAGUGGGACCCAGAAGUGGACCAGAAGUAUUUCAAGUCCACUUCCAGGUACACUGCCGAGCAUGUGGAGGAGCCCCUACCUGCAUUCCUGUGGGACACUCCAUCUGCCCCAGCAUCACAGCAUUCACAAGCCACGCUAGUACCUUGAGGUACAUAGAAAAAACAUUUAAAGCUGUGUCUAUGUCUGAAUCGCUGAUUCUCCGAAUCAGCAUCGAAUCUUCAGAUUCAGUUUUGGCCAAAUCGAAUCAGGGACAGUGAUCUGAAUCAACGAAUCAAAUCACUGUCCCUGAUCCAAAUCCAAAUCAAAUAAGGCCCACUUUGCACACCCCUAAUGUUUAGGCCUUUGGCAUCAGGGCCACAAAAUGAGCAGCCUCCCACGUGUAAAUAUCAAUGUUUGGUGACAUUGAAGGAAUGGCAGACUAAUAUGAUCCUCCAGGCCCAAAAGAGAGAAGCAAGGGGGGUAAGAGUGCUCAGAAACCCCCUUGGCUCAGCAAGGGCAUUCAGGAAUCCCUGAGGAUUGAAAGGAGGGCAUACAACCAGUGGAAGGGAGGAGCUAUUACCAAGGAGGAGUACUGCUCGGCCCGUGAGUGUAGGAGGGCUAUUAGGAAGGCCAAGGUAGAGAUGGAACUCAGGCUAGCGUCCAGUAUUAAGGACAACAAAAAAUACUUUUUCAAGUACAUUGGGAGAAAGAAGAGGGCACCGGGCAAUGUAGACCCCCUGCAAGAUGCAAACGGCAAUCUUGUGGCUACACCAGACAA